rnacentral:tRNA from 1 species
GCCUAGUUAGCUUAACUGGUAGUGCGUCUGCCUCGUAAGCGCUAGGCCGCGGGUUCGAUUCCCGCCCGGGGUG